GACGAACGCUGGCGGCGUGCCUAAUACAUGCAAGUAGAACGCACAGUUUAUACCGUAGCUUGCUACACCAUAAACUGUGAGUUGCGAACGGGUGAGUAACGCGUAGGUAACCUGCCUGGUAGCGGGGGAUAACUAUUGGAAACGAUAGCUAAUACUGCAUAAUAUUGAUUAUUGCAUGAUAAUUGAUUGAAAGAUGCUAUUGCAUCACUACCAGAUGGACCUGCGUUGUAUUAGCUAGUAGGUGAGGUAACGGCUCACCUAGGCGACGAUACAUAGCCGACCUGAGAGGGUGAUCGGCCACACUGGGACUGAGACACGGCCCAGACUCCUACGGGAGGCAGCAGUAGGGAAUCUUCGGCAAUGGACGAAAGUCUGACCGAGCAACGCCGCGUGAGUGAAGAAGGUUUUCGGAUCGUAAAGCUCUGUUGUAAGAGAAGAACGGGUGUGAGAGUGGAAAGUUCACACUGUGACGGUAUCUUACCAGAAAGGGACGGCUAACUACGUG
rnacentral:rRNA from 1 species